ACCCGGGAUUGAGAGUGGAAGGGAGACAAAUCCGGGUUGUGUGAUGCGCUCUGCGCAGCCGCAGCCUGCCUGACUUCUGGGCCCCGCCAGGAGGUCGCCUAGCCUAGCGCAGCCAGGAAGUCAGCUCGGAGUGACAGUUCCCCCCUACGCUGUUUGUUUAUUCAUGACUCAUUCGCCUCCACAGACUGGCUCUUCUUUCUUCUAGGAGGGAGGACAAGAGCGGGCGGGCGGGCAGGCGGGCGGGAGAGGACGGGAAGGGGAGAGGCCAGCUCCACAAUAAACAAUGAGGCAGCUGAGGCCCGGCGGGAGCUGCGGCCCAGGCAUCCCAGGCCCGCCUGCCCGAGGCUCUCUGUUCCCUAUCCCGCCGCCACCUCCGGGCGACCUGGCGGGAGCAGCCGUAAUUGGAUCUUCGUCGCCUCCUCCCCUCCCUGCCCCUCAUCGGGGAGCCGGUUAAAGGCUGGGUACCUCGGCACCACCGGCGGAUCCCAACCUGUGAUUUGGCUGCCGGGCUUCCCCCGGGCGGCUCGGCGACACCCUGCAGGCUGGGCCCUCCCCCACCGCUGGCCCUGCGACAUAAAGAAGCUGGACCUAGAGUCCCAUGGAUGGUGGAGGCAGCCUAGCAUGUCAGCAACACUUCCAAGCCCUAGACUGAGACAUCAGGACAGGAGGACGGUGACAACCACCUAAGGGGCUCAAGCCAGAUUCACCUCCAAUGUCCCAUUCUUCACAAAACCUACUCCAGCCCCCCCCCUGGAGCCAUGUUGAAGAGUUUGUCCCACAGCUGCUCUCCAGAGUAAUGCUUUCUGUGCCAGACAAAAGCACAUAAACAGGGCUGUGCUCUAACCCAUACAAGAAGAAGCCCUGUGGAGCGGGACACAAGCUGAUGCUGCCAAUCACUCUCUUCUCUAAGACAGCAAGAUGGCAGCACUGACCGCAGCACAUAGUGAGACUGCCUAGCCUCAGAAACUGUGGCUGACUUGUCCUCGGCCACUUGCUCAUUCACCAACAAUGGAUGUCUCUAGAGUCUAGACUCCAAGGGUCAUACACCCAAUCGUAAUAGUUUUUCUCACCUUCCUACCACAUUUGCCUAGAUCUGAGAUGGACCCCCUCAGUGCUUGAGGGCAGGCUCCCUUCUAUGCCCACCCAAGUGACAAGGUGUUCACCACACAGUAUGAAACAGGGGUGGAAUGGCAGUAGUCUCAAGUCGGGAAGCAGAAAGAUGUUCCAGGGACCGGAGCAGUCAGAGGGAGCAAAAGCACUGUGCUGUCUCCUCAUCGGAGGAUAUAAAGCAAACGUUCCUUUGAAGCCCCAGAGAAGAGCCAUCUUGUACAGGGACUUCACAGCUCAAGUUUGAACCUGAGGCUUCCCCCAAAUUUCAGAUGAGUGAGAUGUCUCCCCGGGAAAGAGACCUUGACAGCCAUUAAGGAGAGCUACUAUCUGUAUGUGUUCACUGUGGGGUCCACUUUCCUGAGGAGAAGUUUGGCAGAAGCAUCAAAGGCAGAGCAGCUCCCUGGACAUGCCCUUCUCAUGGGCUCCCUGCAGGGCUAGGAAAGCCCUAGCUAGCUGGGAUCUGGGAACAUAAGAUCAUCAAAGCCCAGAGGAAGAAAGUGUGGAUGCCUUAUUAUAGUAGCCCCUAAUGGAGUAGGGCCAGCUGGGUGCUGCCCUGGGCCAGCCUCCCGAGUGAACUGACCUACAUCAGCAGCCUGCUCUGCAGACCAAGCCUCUGUGUCAGUAUCUCUGGAGAUAGGAGACAUCUGGAUUCCCAGCAACAGGUGAUAGCAUCUUCGAGGACAACCAGGAUCCAGUUCAGUCUAGCCUGCCCGGGCACCCAGCCACACUGGGAGCCAUAUUCUUUACACGCUGCAUCAGGGAGCAUCAGGGACACAAGAGAACCUGCCUCUCCAAGUGCCAUCUGUAGACUGGGGUUCCAGCAAGGGGCUCCAGCCCUGGCUGCUGCCAGGGUACUUAGAAAGAGAACAUGUCCCAGCUCUAGCAUGGAUUGUACACGCCAGGCACCAGCCUGUCAGUGUCUAGGCCUCUCGCCUCCCAGUCCCCGGGCUAGUGUCUUCCUCUACGUCAGAACUUUCACAGUUCAGACUCCACCAUGAUUUAGGGUGACAGAAAGAGCCCUGGCACUCAGUCGAGUCUGGAUGUCAGAUAUCAGUGGCUGCCAGUUUAAGUACAUCCCGCACAACACUUGGGAGAUACUUAUACUAAAACUUACCGUUUAUCUGAAGUGCUGCCAGAGUCCUUUAUUCAGAGUCCUGAAUAAAGUUAUUCACUAGAUCUGGCCAUCCUAAAUGAAAUGGCUCAGUCACCCAGCCCAACCUGUCUCCCUCACACACACCUAUGACUCCCACACUGCUCCUCUUACCUACCUAGGUAAUAAGCUACACUGAAACUUAGUGUUUUAAGCCAGAAACUAUUUCCUGUUAUCACGGAUUUUGUUGCCUUGGAAUUCAGGCAAGGUUCAGUCCAGUGAAUCUUUUAGUCUGUCUAGGGCAGAUGGAGUUUGCUCUGCUAAUGUUGAAGUAGUAGGUGGAUCCAUCUGAAACCUCCAUGUUACCAUCUCCUGCGCCUGAUGCCUGGAAGGCAGAACGAGCAGAAAUUAUCCCUAGACUCCUCCGUGUGGCCUCGAGGAUCCUAAUACAGUGCUGGAGGCCCAGGUCAGCUGUUUGCUUUUUUACAAUGCCACUUCUAAAGUCCCGAAUGUCACUUCUGCCAUAGCCUGUCUGUCUACAGAUAAACUCUAGACUCAAACAUUAGACUGCUCACAUUGAUGACGCAGCAGUGAUGCACGGCCAUCCUCAGUCCAUGCACGUGGCCUCUCCCUGUCCCCUCCACACCUCUGUGGCCAGACUCCUGUGCCUGGCUGACACCCUUCUUAGCUGCCUUCUGAUCACUUGCUCUGGUUCUGCCUUCCGAUCUGUUCCCUGCUUACCCAUUUUUCCCACUAGGGUGUGCCCAGCACUUAACACAGAGCCUGAUACACACUGAGAGCUUGGGGAACAACCAUACAAGUAUCUGAGUCAAUGAGCUAUGCCGUAGCAUCCAAACAGUAUAGCCUGAUCCUCACAAGCUUUGGCAGUGCGCCCACCUAUCCAGCUUAGCACCUUGUAUGCAGCCCUGUGGUACUUUUCUCCUCAACCACGAGGUCUUCCCUCAAUGACUUCUUUUUGGCUACCCUUUUAGCACAGGCUGUCUUUUCUCUUUUUCUGCCUCGUGAAGUCUUAUGUGCUCUUCAAAGCCUUACCCAACUAUCACCUCCUAUUGGAAGCCUCCCAGUCCAUCCGGUCCUGGUUCUCAUGUGAAUGCUCAAAUAACGACAUGCAACAGAAGCCUGGGUUUUAGCUCCUCAGAUGUGUGGCAGGGGUGAGGGUUUCCUCAAUCCAGGGCACCCUCUCAAGAUCAAGCACACGGACAAACAUUUCUGGAAAGCAGCCAGGUGUGUCUCCUACCGCUCUGCUUAUGCCACACUUUUGCCUCAUCUCUUAUCACAAAACCUUCCUGGCCCAUCCUCCACCUCUCAUAAAAGCCUUCUGUGGGCUGGACCCUGACCUCCACUGCAUUCAGCCUGCACUCAUUUAACACUUACUGAAUUUUGGCAGGCAGCAGCCACACCUCCAUUCACUUUACUAAUACCCCUAUUGGGGAGAAACACCUGUACCUGCUGCCAGAGAUACAGCCCUAUUGCCCUGAGUCCCAGGGUGAGGAAGAAACAAACAAUCAAGUCUCAACAGCUCAGAGCCUGAGGAACAACUAGGAGGGUAAUACUCCAUGCAUGGGUCUGGAACGAUCUCCAGGGAAAAGAAGUUAACUUGAACUCUGAAGCCAAUUGCCCCCUAAGGGGUAUACAAUGGCUAAAGGCCUGGAGCUGGGACACCAGCUCAGGAGGUAUAUUGAAGAUCACAGUGCCUGGCCCUUGAGCAAAGAGUAGGAGGGAUGGAAAGAGAAAACCCCAGGCCAGGGUUGAAGAGCCUUCCAGAUAGAGCAAGACCUUAAGGUUUGACCCAGAAUCCUGGGGGCUCUAUUGAUGUUAGGUAAUAUUAAUGGGAGUCCACCUGUACUGCCUGGACUGUGCUCUGUCUAUUUUGCCUUCGUUAAGUCUCACUGGGACCAUGUGCAGGUCUGGCAUAUUGCUGUACAAGAUGGAGUAAGUUCAGUGGAUGGGACACAGUCCCAUUAUCACAGCCAAAACGGUGAUGGAUGGCUAAUCUAACUUGUCAACUUGACAACAUCUGAAAUCAUCUAAAAUCCAAGCUGCGGGUGUGAAGGGUUUUCUUAAUCAGACUAUUUGAAGGAAGAAUGCCCACCCUAAAUCUGGGUCACACUUUCUGGUGGCAACCCACAUGGAAGGACAUGGAAGAAGGAAACUUUGCUUCUUCCCUGUUUACUGGUAAGCUCACCCUCACAUAUACCGGUGAGCUCGUUUACCCUAUAGAUGCCCCUGUAUUAGAUCCAACUUCUUCAGGAUUCCAUCACAGACGAAAUACCAACACUUCUCCAGCAAGCCGCCAGCACUCCAGCACUGGACUAGGGCUGCACGGACAUCCAGCCUUGUGGAUGGGACAGCCAUUGUUGGACUAAUUGGACCAUAUCCUGGAAGUCAAGCUAAUAACUGACCUCCAGGUAGGGUGUGCAGCUUUUGAGAUACUUCUAAUUAUGUAUCCCUGGCUAUUCUGGAACUCACUAGGUAGACCAGACUGACCUCAAAGUCACAGAAAUCUGCCUGCCUCUGACUCUCAAUUUUAAUGUAUUUUUACAUUUUAUCAGUUCUGUUCUUUCUGAGGACCCUUAAUUAAUACGACAACUGCCCAACUGGGAAGUAUGAAGUGUUUUCACAUCAGUAGAGCCAGAGGCCCCUCAUGAGGCACUGCUUCUGUUGGGGAGUCUUAGGUUGUCCAUCCACAAAAUGACAAGGCAGAACUUCUUGAUUCGACCUGUACCGUGUCACCAAGUUACCAUCUCAUCCACAUCACCGCUCCUCAGUGUCUCUUGGCAAGCAGACUCCUUUCCCUUUCCCCUGGAGACUAGGCAGAGCUGAGGAACAUGAACCUUAUGUUUCUAGAGCCUAGAAUGAUCCACCAGCAGGGCACCGCGACACCAGUACAGGGUGCACACCAGCGUCCAGGGGCAAGGCCCAGUGCCUAGUCUAGAAGCCCUGACACAAGAAGGAAGAGCUGCUUCCCCACACACAGCAAACCAGUAAGUGGUUAGCCCCUCCCAUGACAACAGGCCCUCUGCUGUAAAAGGACCAACCAAGGUUCCCUGGCCAUCAUGACAUGCGCUGACAUCGUCACUCUGGCUCUACCGAGCAGAUGCCAGGAGCUCUUAUCUCAACAACCCCUGCUGAAGUCUCCAUGACCCUGAGAAAGGGUAAAGCUGAAGUAACCCAUGGCUCCUCUGCGAUGUCGGGGCUGAGCUGAGCACAUCACAGGGAGGGGCACACGUGGGUCUCGCCUCAGUCUUUACAACCCUGUGCUCCUUUUCCAUCCUUUAAGACCUCAGAGGGGACCCUCCAAAUUACUGCCUCUGUGUUUGUGACAAUGGGCUGGUGGCAGUGAAAGACGGGGUCUUUAUUUAAUGUAGGAACUAUGUCAAGAAGACUAGAGUUCGCUCCAUCCCUGAGCCAUUCCAGUCCCUCACGUUCGUUCAGGUCUCCUGUGCAUAGCUUUAAAAGGUGGAUUCUGCAGCAUCAACCUAAGAAGAGGAGAAGAGGCCAGAACAGUCCCACUGAAUGGCAAAGUUUUACGCUGACCACUCUCUGUUUGACUGGAAUGGGAAGUGACUGGGAAUGGGUACAGGGUUUCUUUGAGGAAUGAUUAAAAUGUUCUAAAAUUAGACUGUAGUAGCUGAGGGUAUGGCUUAGUAGAAUGCUUACCUAGCAAGCAUGGAGCUCUGGGUUCAUUCGCCAGCAUGUCAUAAAGCAGGAGAGACAGGCAGCCCAUUAGAGAUGGCAGUUCAACUCUGUAGAUGGACUAGGGGCCACUGAGAUACACGUUUUAAAGUAAAAUUUAAAAAAAAUAUAGAUGACCAAAAAUCUUUCUAAUCUUCUGAAAUAAUUUUAAAAAAAGAACAUAUUAAAAUGCCUAUCCCUAGAAUUUCCACAAGAGAAAUCCCCUUUUCCCAAAAAGUUUGAAUCUUCAUAGACUACAGACUCCAUACAUGCCCAAAGCUAAAACCCAGCAUGACCUUGGAUUUCGCAGCCCAGGGCCUCAUGAGUUUGAGAGGGACACUCCAACGAAAGCAGACAAACGGAGACUCAGGCAUGAAGAGACCACAGGAAUGGUGCCCUGUCCUGAGCCUGAGUAGGCAUGGCCCUACCCACAGAACCUGAGUCUUUAGCUUCCCUUUUCUUCCCUCCAUCCUAGGAAUGGAAUCCAAGAAACUCCAGUGUUCCAAGGACCCAGGCGGGCAUCCUAACCUCAGCCUGGAGAAUCACCCUCUGUCCCCAAUCCCUGAAGAGCCAGCCAUCCCCACUUGCCCCAAAGCAGUCAGGCUCAGUCCUGGAGUCCUUCCUUUGUUCCUGCUCACACCUCCUUUCUCCCAGUACCCAGCAGGGUGGGAAGGAGGGCUCUCUGCCUCACUUCUGAACUCUGUCCACAUGCCCCACCCCACCCAGGGGCAGGGUAGAAACCCCAAGUGACCCUCUACUCCAAGCAGAACAGGUAGCUGGAGGCAGCCUCCCUUCAGCUAAAUGCAGGGUCCUCAAAGGACAUAGUCUCUCUGCUGAGUCCUGGCAGAGAGAAUCUAGUGAUCCAGAUAGGUACAGCUGGGGAGAAUAAGGCUACAAGGGGAAGAAGGAAAGGCCCACCUAGGGUCUCACAUACACAGAGUAUCUGUGGUCAGGCUGUGAUGUUCAUUCAACUCAGACUGUCAAAACUAGUGUAAACACAAAAGCCAUCCCCCCUCCCUUCCUUUCUAUCCCUCCCUCAUUCCCUCCCUUCCUCUUUUCCUUCCUCCCUUCUUCCUUCCCCUUCCUCUUUUCCUUCCUCCAUAAUUCCCUUUCCCCUUCCUCUUUCCUUUCUCUCCCUUCUCCCUUUCCUCCCUCUCUCCCUGGCUCCUUUCCUUCUUCUCUUCCUUUUCUGACUUCCCCUUUUCCUCUCUUCCUCCCUCCCUUCCUCCCUUCAUUACACCCUUUCUUCCUUCCUCCUUCCCUCCAUUCUUUUCUCCUUUUCUCUCCCUUCUUGUCUUCCCCAUCAAGUUUGUUAACCACAGAGAGCAGAUGUUUUUUCUAAUGUCUCUGAGUUUCAAGAAAACAAAUCACUCAGAAAACAAAACAGAAAUAAACACAAUGACAUGAUCCGACCUGAGGGUUUUUGUUUUGUUUGGGGUUUUUUGGGGUGGAAGGUGUUCUUUUUUACUUUGCUCACAAGUAUAAGUCAAGACCUGACUGUAAGGCCAGAGUCAACUCCACCAGCCCCAGCUGAAGCUGCUCAGUCAGAUGCUGCAGGAGCCUCUGCCAGGGUAGCACACUCAAAGGCUGGCAGACAGGGGCUGGGUUCCUUCCCACAGACAUCUCUGUUGGGCUGUGCCAUGAGCCCCUUGCAGGGCAUGGCCUCUGAAUUUCAGUUCUAGUACAGAGUUCCACAGCAAGGAUGCAGAAACUGCUAACUCCUAAAAAAAAUCUGUGCCUAGAGAUGCAUACAAUAUUGUCUACCAUAUUUUACUGGGUAAGAAUUUCCAAAAGCCCACUCAAGAGUAGAUCCCACCCCACCCCCGCAUACCCAUUAUAUGGGAAAGGGGGCUCAUUAAGAAACCACCAAAACGACUCUUCCAUCACUGGGGGAAGUCUUUCAUUGUGAAUGAGAGAAAGAGAAUAUCCAGAGGCAUCUGGAAGAGUUCAGAGCAGAGAGAAAAAGAAGCAGACUGAACACAGUCGGGGCUGGGUGAGCCAAGUGUGGAAAAAUUGAGCAGUGAUAUGGAGAACAGUAGCUUGGCGGAGGGAAGCUGGAGAGUUGGAGCGGACCUGGGGGCUUAGAGAAGAUUCGAGAAGAACCUGGAUAUUAGUGUGGAGGCUUUGAGAUGUAUGACAGGUACUUGUGGAUGGGGAGUAUAGCAGCCUGGAGAACAGCGAGGCUUUGAUACAAGGCUACAGGUAUAUGUCAGUGGAAAGGCACAUGUCCCUUCUGCCAAAGGCAAGGAAAAUAGCUCCUUUUCACUGGCAGAAACUAGUCACAAGUUACUGAAGAAUGCUGGCUUUUAUCUAACUGCCAGAAAUCCUUCUAUAGUUCAGCUUGAAUUGACCAACACUGUGAUUUCUGGACAAAAGCACUUCCUGAGACCUCUGAGAGGUGUAUCGAGGCAGUAGUUUGUCUGUUUGUUGAAACGGGGUUUCUGUGUAGCCCUGGCUGUCCUGGAACUCAGUCUGUAGACCAGGCUGAGCAGAGAUCCACCUGUCUCCUGGGCGCUGGGACUAAAGUGUGCAAGGCCACUGCCUGCCUAAGACAUUUAGCUUUAAGACUACCACAGUAUAAAGGAUCAGGAUACAAAAAUCAGUUGUAUUUCUAUUCAGUAGUAAUGAGCAGUUGGAAAAUAAAAUUAAGAAAAUAACCUAUUCAUGCCACAAAACAGAAUAAAAUAUUUAGAAGUA